GGUAAGCGGUGCGGUGGAGCGGCGGCGGCAGCUCCUCCAGGCACGGCGGCGGAGCAGCAGCGGGAGGAGCCGGUGGAGCGGCGGCGGCAGCUCCUCCAAGCACGGCGGCGGAGCAAGAGCGGGGGCAACCGGCGAGGCGCGGGACGACAUGCCAGAGGGACUGCGGGUUGAUUUUCCAUUAGUACAAGGGUUUUUUAUUGCAAAAGUUUUAGGAUUUACACGAUCUGGACCAUCUGUCCAUCUGUGCCCGAUCGAACGGCCGGGAAAAGCGGGCGACGUGGCCAUGCUGACCGGCCAGUUUUUGUUGCGUGAAUCGUAUUUUAAAGACUAGAAAUGCUCGCGGGCGUUGCCGCGUAUGGCCAGUGUGCGGGCUGCUUCUAGUGUAGAUGGGCCCCGAUUUUCUAUCAGCUAUGGUGAAUUGAGUGAACUCUGACAUUGUCGCGCGGAAUGAGGACGGAGGCGACAGCGCGGUCGGUGAGUCGUCGAGGGAGGAGGAGAAGAUGGAGGUGGCGGCGGCGGUGGCCGCAUUACCCAGGCUUUGCGUUUGCAAUGGUGGAUAUGUGGAAUGACAAGAGAUAUCCCUCCAAGGCCUACAAUAUUUUGGAUCGAUCUUACAUGCCCCCUCUAUUUCACAAUUUCUGUCCAAUAUAUCUUGAUUGUGCAACAUAGGCAUGUUGUCAGUUAGGUAAAGAACGACCUAGAUUGAUGUUAUCUCUUCAUGUGCAGAUGCACCUUGUAUCUGGAUGUCCAUACUCUAUCUAAACAUGCUUUUGCAUAGAUUUAUAGCAAUGCCCCACUUUUCAGCUGAUGUUUUUCUUCAUUACUCAGAUUUUUGUACAACAAUUCUUUAUUCGGACCAGUUCCAGAUAAGUUACUGAACAAGCAAGGACUGACUUACAGGGCCUAAAGUUUGAGUGCAUUGUAUUAAUAAUUUAAGUACCCCAGAACCAAUAUUGGUGCUAUCCAGCCUGCAAGCUCGUGGCUCAAGAUGAUUUUUUGAUGGUGGAAAAUAUCAUUGUUCCAAGGAUGGUUGCAUAAGCACAACUAUUGAGCAUAGAAGAGAUGUGUCAUUGCCACAGGGUUGUGUUUGUUGAACCAGUGUGUGCAGCACGUUCUUGCACCAUUGUGUUGAAGGACAUUAAGUAUAGCUCAAGCAUUAUAUAUGUUGCGAAGGAUGCCAAGUUUAGCUCA